ensembl:snRNA U6 U6 spliceosomal RNA
GAGCUCGUUUUGGCAGCACAUAUACUAAAAUUGGAAUGAAACAGAGAAUAUUGGCAUGGCCCCUGCACAAGGAUGACACGCAAAUUUGUGAAGCAUUCCAAAACCUC